GGAUGGGUAGGGGAGCGUCGUGUGCCGGGUGAAGCAGCCGCGGAAGCGAGUUGUGGACGGUUCACGAGUGAGAAUGCAGGCAUGAGUAGCGAUACACACGUGAGAAACGUGUGCGCCGAUUGACUAAGGGUUCCUGGGUCAAGCUGAUCUGCCCAGGGUAAGUCGGGACCUAAGGCGAGGCCGACAGGCGUAGUCGAUGGACAACCGGUUGAUAUUCCGGUACCCGCUUUGAAACGCCCAAUACUGAAUCAGGCGAUGCUAAGUCCGUGAAGCCGGCCCGAUCUCUUCGGAGUUGAGGGUAGUGGUGGAGCCGACGAACCAGACUUGUACUAGGUAAGCGAUGGGGUGACGCAGGAAGGUAGUCCAGCCCGGGCGGUGGUAGUCCCGGGGUAAGGGUGUAGGGCGUGUGAUAGGCAAAUCCGUCACACAUUAAGUCUGAGACCUGAUGCCGAGCCGAUUGUGGUGAAGUGGAUGAUCCUAUGCUGUCGAGAAAAGCCUCUAGCGAGUUUCAUGGCGGCCCGUACCCUAAACCGACUCAGGUGGUCAGGUAGAGAAUACCGAGGCGUUCGGGUGAACUAUGGUUAAGGAACUCGGCAAAAUGCCCCCGUAACUUCGGGAGAAGGGGGGCCAUCACUGGUGAUUGGAUUUACUCCAUGAGCUGGGGGUGGCCGCAGAGACCAGCGAGAAGCGACUGUUUACUAAAAACACAGGUCCGUGCGAAGCCGUAAGGCGAUGUAUACGGACUGACGCCUGCCCGGUGCUGGAACGUUAAGGGGACCGGUUAGCUGACUUUCGGGUCGGCGAAGCUGAGAACUUAAGCGCCAGUAAACGGCGGUGGUAACUAUAACCAUCCUAAGGUAGCGAAAUUCCUUGUCGGGUAAGUUCCGACCUGCACGAAUGGCGUAACGACUUCUCGACUGUCUCAACCAUAGGCCCGGUGAAAUUGCACUACGAGUAAAGAUGCUCGUUUCGCGCAGCAGGACGGAAAGACCCCGGGACCUUUACUACAGUUUGAUAUUGGUGUUCGGUUCGGCUUGUGUAGGAUAGGUGGGAGACUUUGAAGCAGCCACGCCAGUGGUUGUGGAGUCGCCGUUGAAAUACCACUCUGGUCGUGCUGGAUGUCUAACCUGGGUCCGUGAUCCGGAUCAGGGACAGUGUCUGAUGGGUAGUUUAACUGGGGCGGUUGCCUCCUAAAGAGUAACGGAGGCGCCCAAAGGUUCCCUCAGCCUGGUUGGCAAUCAGGUGUUGAGUGUAAGUGCACAAGGGAGCUUGACUGUGAGACCGACGGGUCGAGCAGGGACGAAAGUCGGGACUAGUGAUCCGGCAGUGGCUUGUGGAAGCGCUGUCGCUCAACGGAUAAAAGGUACCCCGGGGAUAACAGGCUGAUCUUCCCCAAGAGUCCAUAUCGACGGGAUGGUUUGGCACCUCGAUGUCGGCUCGUCGCAUCCUGGGGCUGGAGUCGGUCCCAAGGGUUGGGCUGUUCGCCCAUUAAAGCGGUACGCGAGCUGGGUUUAGAACGUCGUGAGACAGUUCGGUCCCUAUCCGCUGCGCGCGUAGGAAUAUUGAGAAGGGCUGUCCCUAGUACGAGAGGACCGGGACGGACGAACCUCUGGUGUGCCAGUUGUCCUGCCAAGGGCAUGGCUGGUUGGCUACGUUCGGAAAGGAUAACCGCUGAAAGCAUCUAAGCGGGAAGCCUGCUUCGAGAUGAGUGUUCCCACCCC
rnacentral:rRNA from 1 species